GAUGAACGCUGGCGGCGUGCUUAACACAUGCAAGUCGAACGGAAAGGCCCAAGCUUGCUUGGGUACUCGAGUGGCGAACGGGUGAGUGACACGUGGGUGACCUGCCGUGCACGGCGGGAUAAGCAUGGGAAACGGGGUCGAAUACCGGAGAGGACCGCAUUUUGGAUGGUGUUGUGGAAAGUUUGUCGGUGUGGGUUGAGAGCGCGGUCUGUCAGCUUGUUGGCGGGGUAGUGGGUUACCAAGGCGUCGACGGGCAGCCGGCCUGAGAGCGUGUGAGGCCACAUUGGGACUGAGAUACGCCCCAGACACCUACGGGAGGCAGCGGAGGGGAAUAUUGCACAAUAGGCGCACACCUGAUGCAGCGAAGCAGGGUGGGGGAUGACGGCCUUCGGGUUGUACACGACUUUCGCUAGGGACGAAGCGUUUUGUGACGGUACCUGGAGAAGAAGCACCGGCUAACUACGUG
rnacentral:rRNA from 1 species